rnacentral:rRNA from 1 species
GACGAACGCUGGCGGCGCGCUUAACACAUGCAAGUCGAACGGAAAGGCCUGCUUUCCCUUGUGGAUUGCGGGUACUCGAGUGGCGAACGGGUGAGUAACACGUGAGUGAUCUGCCCCCAACUUGGGUAUAAGCCUGGGAAACUGGGUCUAAUUCCCGAUAGGACUGCAGGGUGGUGCCUGUGGUGGAAAACGAUUUUCUAGUGGUUGGGGAUGAGCUCGCGGCCUAUCAGCUUGUUGGUGGGGUAAUGGCCUACCAAGGCGGCGACGGGUAGCCGGCCUGGGAGGGUGGACGGCCACAUUGGGACUGAGAUACGGCCCAGACUCCGACGGGAGGCAGCAGGGGGGAAUAAUGCACAAUGGGCGGAAGCCUGAGGCAGCGACGCCGCGUGGGGGAUGACGGCCUUCGGGUUGUAAACUCCUUUCGACCGCGAGGAAGCCACCUGGUUGGAAGGGUGGUGACGGUAGUGGUAGAAGAAGCACCGGCUAACUACGUG